GGAGAGGGAACUGAUUACUCACUUCCUUUUUGCAGCAAGGGCGACAAUAGCUAAACAUUAGAGGGGGGAAAAUGUUAAGGUCAUGAAUCUAGAAUAUCGUUACAGGAAAGUUUGGGCCAAUAGCUGUACUGGAAAGAUUGUCUCGCAAACUUCGAGUAAGGCAGAGGUCAAAGAAACACAGACAAGUUUUUAGAAGGCAGGCAUUUGACUACUAAUAUUGUAAGUAGCCAGGAAUCUGGGAGAUCAGUUCCAACUGCAUAUAAAAUGGUUUGUUCUUUUUAAGGGAAAUAGCAUCAGUUGAAGAAGGGUGAGAUGAAUUAAGGACAACAAAAUGCGAAUCUUUUUAAUGGAGUUAAGGUUAUAGUAAACCAUCAAUGCUGUAAAGGGGGAAAAAUAGUAUGAUCUAUUAUAGUAGUUCAAACAUUAAAUUAAAUAAAAGAUUCUUAAUUCUACUUGUAGAAUAUAUUGUGCUUUAAAUGUAACCUGAAUUUUGAAAUACUGUUGAUGGAGUAUUUCUACUUCAAUCAAUAUUACUGUUGUAAAACAGUUUGGUAUGGGAAAUAAAUAUAAUGAAAAGGAAAAUGAAAACCUCUGAUGUGGAGGGCUGGGACACUGGAUUUUAAGUGUUUGCCACCCCAAAUACAUUCGUUUUGUAUCAGAUGCCAGACCAGCCUUUCCCAAUGCUUUGGACUCCAACUCCCAUCAACCUCAACCAGCAUGCUCAGUGGUCAGGGCUGACUAGAUUUGAAGUCCCAAGCAUCUAGAUGUCUCCCAUGAGCUGAAUUGGUGACGCCUUCUGAGAUCUGAUGAGUCUCCCCAUUUUGUGUAUUUGUAUGAAGGGGAGUUCCAGUGCAGCUGGGGAAAGGGAUCCCGGAAGUGGGGGCAGGGGAGAAGAAGGCUAUGAUCUUGCAGCUAAGCCAUCCAGAAUUCACCAUGGCACUAGGGUGCUGCAGUUGCUAGCAUAUUCCUAAUGUGCUGAGAAGUUUGAAACAAUAAAAAGGGGAAGUUUAUGUGUCCACAAACUCAAAAGUUUAUAUGUUCCUGGACACCAAAAUAAACACUGGGAUACUCCAUAUCAUACACCUGCACAAUCGUAACAAUAAUGGUUGUACAAAGUUAUCAUGCUUCCAGAAUACUAAUAAAUGCAUGAUGACAUUGCAUUGUCUACACCAGGCAGAGGCAAACUCUGGCCCUCCAGAUGUUUGGGACUACAAUUCCCAUCAUCCCUAGCUAAUGGGACCAGUGGUCAGGGAUGAUGGGAAUUGUAGUCCCAAACAUCUGGAGGGCCAGAGUUUGCCUAUGUGUGGUCUACACACACAGAGAGAGAGUUGUAUUUAUUCAUUUGGGGUUUUCUUUUCCCCUCAGGCUUCUCUAAAUGCAACACUCUACAUAAAUUCAAAGAUUUCUGUGCUUAAAAUACUUCAGUUUUGUGUGUUUUCACUAAUAACUUUUGAAUUUGACCAGGAGGAAAUGUUCAAGCAGUGAUACUGAUGUAGAACAGAAUGUCUCUAUUUUCAUCUGAGGAAUGUUGGAGGGUAUGAAGUAGUUGCAUACAACAGUCAUACUGGGAGUGGACCCACUGAAUGUAAUGCACAUGACUAAUAUAGGUUCGUUCAUUUAAGUGGGCCUACUCUGAGGAGAACUUGGUUGAAUGCAACUCUAUAACUCCAAAUCUAACCCCACAUACAUGAACUAAUCCCACUGAAUUCCACGGGACUUCCCCUCGAGUAGACAUGAGUUAGGCUUGCGCUAUAAACUAACUUAUCCAGUGUCACAUUUGCUGCUGACAUUGCAAAAUUAUAGCAUCAUCAACAGUAGAGAGCCAGGAUGCUUUAAAUGGGCACUUACAGAAAAAAAGCUCAAAGUCAAAUUUUAUUAAGAGUCUAUUAACAACUUGCCAUCACCAGCUCAUUAGCAGAGACGUGAGACAACAAAGCUAUUAAAAAUGUAUAAAACCAGCAAUAUGCCUCUCUUCACUGUUUUACAGGCUACUAGCAAGGCCAAUAAAACAGAGUGCCAAAUUUAUUUAUUUUAUUUUUUAAAAAAACCCCAACAACAAUUACACAGCAGUUUAAAGAUCUGGAGCAUCCUUCCCAUAUUAACCCCUGACAAAUGUUUGGAGUGGGAGAGAAGAUAUGCACUUAUAUACAUUACAAGUGCUUUCAAGCCAAGAAUAUCAAAACAUUCUUCACUAUGAAUUAAUAAAUUACCAAAUCAAUCUUUUAUUUUAUUUAAUGUAUUAAUGCAGCCCCUGCUCUCAGGUUUAUAAUCUAAGAGACACAACAGGAAAGGGAAAGAGAUUGGGGUGGAGCGGGGAGGAAAUUUAGGCAUCAGUGCUGUGCCAAAUGGUCUUUACAGUGGUGCCCCGCAAGACGAAUGCCUCGCAAGAUGGAAAACCCGCUAGACGAAAGGGUUUUCCGUUUUCAAUGCGCUUCGCAGGAAAAAUAUCCAUAUGGGCUUGAUUCGCAAGACGAAAAUGUCGUGGGAGUCUAGAGAAUUUUUUUUUGCUUUACCCCCCCCUUUAUCUAAACUGCUAAGCCUUUAAUAGCCUUUAAUAGCCUUUUAGCAGCUAAUCCCCUAAGCCUUUAAGCCUUUAAUAGCCGCUAAACCGCUAAUAGCGCUAAUCCGUUAAGCCGCUAAUAGGGUUGCUUCGCAAGACGAAAAAACCGCUAGACGAAGACUCUCGCGGAACGGAUUAAUUUCGUCUUGCAAGGCACCACUGUAUAUUAAACAUUCACAGCAUACGGGAGUUGAAGUGAAAUUAUUGUUGGGGAAGGGGGUAAAACACUUUUUUAAAAUUGUGAGAGAUGAGGUUAGGAGGGCCAUAGGAAUCAAAUAAGGCGGCAGUACCUCUGAUGGGGGAAAUGUCAUGCCUCUUCCCGGGGAAUUUGUCCACCUUUGGUUCCCACCUGGCAAUCAACUCUCACUUGUGGCUCCUAGAAGCUGUCAGCGUGCGACAGCAGCCACACUCUGGGAAACCGCUUUGACUGGCCAGCUAAACCAGAUGAGGGUAGCUGAUGGGUCUCAAACCCUCAGUACGUUAGGGACAUCCUUUGCAUGCGAAGACACGUUUUGGUGGAUUGAGCAGAUGAGACCAAUAGUGGGUCCAAAGGCCAAUAAGCUGAUCAACCUUGGAAGGUAGUCCAUCAAACUCUCACCCUCAACCUCCACACCUUGCAUGAUACCUUCGGGAGAAGGAAAGGCUAAGGAGUACACCCUACACGAAUCCAGAGUGGUGCCUUGUACACCUCCUUCAGGCAAUUCCUGCAGCCAAGCUAGUGCAAACACACUGCUGUGCUUUCCUUUGGACCAUAUCAGUGAGGCCAAGAGAGGGUCUUGUUGUCUGGGAGCCUAGGACCUCCAUACACUGGCCAGGCUUGCGUCCCAUGGAGGUCACUUUAGUGCUGCUAACACAAUGGUUGGACUUCACCCCCGGAGGUGCACUCCAUGGUUUCUCAAGACAGACAGAUGCCAACAACAGCAAUACAAGAAACAGAUCACAACUGUUCCUAAAAUUAUAUUGCAAUACAAAUAUUCGCUUGCCAAUUUAAAAAGCCAGGCUUGCAAGCAAUUCUCAUUCUGGUCUGCUCCAGAAGCUCACUGCUGAAUUCUCCUUACCGCUCAACAUCCUUACAUAGCCACACUGCCAAUAUUCAUCUUAAACUGAUGAUUCGGGUUAUCAUGACGGAUCAUACCACCAGGCUUUCCCUAAUCUCAAUAGUUUCUUGUCUAUCUUGCUUCUGCACCAGACUUCUCUCUCAACUCCUUCUCAGCCAGUGUUUCUCUGUCAUCUUCUUUCUUGAUUUCCUCUUCUCUUCCAAAGUCUCUCAACAGAAUAGGCCUACUAGCAAGCCUAUCCUCCAACCAAUCAGAUUUGAAUUGGCAUAGAAUGCUCCCCCUCCACUUUUCCCAUCCAGUGAGUGAUCAUGAAUUGCUACCCAGUAAGCCAAUCAGGUGUGAUUUUAGAAUCCUCUCAGUAUUUUAAAGAACCCAGUUUUCCUCAGACCAGUCUUAUGUUAGUAAAUAACAACUAUCUGUCAGCCACCAACUGAUACUUACGGUAAUAUUUCAAAUUUACAUGACCCCACAUACACAUACAUUAUAUCUAAACCAAACCCUGUUUUAGUAAACAGCGAUUUAUCCAUGCUAAUUAUUAACCUUAUUAAAGAGGGAGGGGAGACCCCAGUGUCUCCAAGCUGAGAUACGAGAGCCCCAUCUGUAUUGGCAUUCUGCUGGCUUUUGAAGAUGCACCUGUUUACACAGGUAUUCCUUUGAUUUCUCCUGUUUUCAUUACUGUGUUUUAAUGCAAUUGCCUUUUUUGUGUGUGUUAACUAUGGAUCUUUAUAUUUUAAGUACUUUUAUGAGAUUGUUUUACUGUGUAUUUUAAUUAUGGGUGCUUAUGCUCUGCACAAUAGGAUUUUUAUACUUUAAAACCACUGAGAAGCCUACUUUGGUAUUGAGCAUUAUACUGAUAAACAAUUAGCACAGGCCUCAGGAUGCUGGCAAAGACCCACAUAGUUAAGUCCCAGUUUACCCAGUGGGUUAACUAAGAAAACCUACUGGGUUUUCUGAAGUAGGAUGGCAAUCUCCUCUUUCUUGCAGAUGAGGGCAACAUGUGACACUGAAGGAGCGUGUGGCCUUUUGCCUAAGCACUGAGGCAAGCCUCUCGCACCAGAGGAGAGAAAAAACAGGCAAAUGCUGGUAUAGGAACUGAACUCAGCUAUACAUCACUGUCGGCAGCAAUUUGCACCAGGGCAUGGAGCUCUCAUAGGCGUGUUAUUGGCUGGAUGGUGCAGUGCUCCUGGCCAUAUAUUACUGGUGCCUGCCAGGGGAGGGGAUUGUUCAGAAAUAAGUGGGCCAGCAGCAAGUAAUUGAUGCCCAAGGUGGAGUUCAUCUCAUUUUUCUUUCUCUGGUGCACACAUCCACUUGCAAAUCCCUCUCCUGUUUUAUAGUAAAUACCAUGAUGAGUGCAACGUAUCUGAAGGGGUGGCAUCUUGGAGGAAUCAUGUUGCAGUCACAUCACUGAUGCACAGAGAAGAAGGUGAGGAUGCAUACUGAAAGCAGCCUUCCCCAAGCUGGUGCCCUCCAGAUGUUUUGGACUACAGCUCCCACCAGCCCCAGCCAGCAGCGGACCCAAGAGAGCAAAUAUUGGGGGAAGGUGCUCUUUUAGACCAGUACCCAAGUACCAAAUGGAUCCCAAGCCAUUUAGGGCUUAUUGCACCAGUGUCAACACUUUGACUUGGACCUGGUAGCUCACUGGAAGCCUGUGCAGUUCUUUCAUGACUGGCAACUCAUGGUCCAGUCGGGUUGCCCACAUUCCAACCUAAUACAGUGGUACCUCUGUAUUAGCCACAGGUUACGUACGCUUCAGGUUACAUAUGCUUCAGGUUACAGACUCCGCUAACCCAGAAAUAGUGCUUCAGGUUAAGAACUUUGCUUCAGGAUAAGAACAGAAAUCGGGCUCUGGCGGCACAGUGGCAGCAGGAGGCCCCAUUAGGUAAAGUGGUGCUUCAGGUUAAGAACAGUUUCAGGUUAAGAAUGGACCUCCGGAACGAAUUAAGUACUUAACCCGAGGUACCACUGUAGCUGCAUUUUGCACCAGCUGCAGUUUCUAGAGACCAAGGGCAGUCCCAUAUAGGGCGCAUUGCAGUAGUCCACUUGGGAGCAGACCUAUUUUGGGUGAUAUAGUCUAAUAUAUGCAAUGGUUAACUACACUGAGGAGGAGAUAUAAAAGGUACGUUCCCCUUUUUAGGGGUUCAAAGUUGUUGAGCUUCUUUUAGGGAGGGAAGAUGCUCGAUGCUCCGUUCGGCUCAAAGUUGUUGAGAGAGGGGAAGUGCCCCGUUUUAUGCCCGUUUUAUUGGGGUUCUGGGAGGAUUAGUCGCUCACCAAGUGAUCGCUGUGGAAGGAAUUUGCCUCACAGCAAAAACUCCAUCUUCCAUUCCAGAGACCAGGAGAAAAUGCAGGGAGGGGAGAGGGGCCGGGGCCGGGUGGUCUUAGGCAAAAGCAAAGGAAAAUGAGCCCGUGAUCGACUGCAACCUUCUGGGGAUCGGCCAGUCAAUCCCGAUUGACCUGUUGGCCAUCCCUGGUCUAAACCACAGAGCCUAGGGCCUGCUGAUCAGAAGGUUGGCGGUUCGAAUCCCUGUGACUGGGUGAGUUCCUGUUGCUCGGUCCCACCUUCUGCCAACCUAGCAGUUUGAAAGCACAUCAAGGUGCAAGUAGAUAAAUAGGUACCACUCGGGCGGGAUGGUAAAUGGUGUUUCUGUGCGCUGCUCUGGUUUCGCCAGAAGUGGCUUAGUCAUGCUGGCCACAUGACCCAGAAGUUGUACGCCAGCUCCCUCAGCCAGUAAAGCAAGAUGAGCGCCACAACCCCAGAGUCGUCCGCGACUGGACCUAAUGGUCAGGGGCCCCUUUACCUUUAUAUUCUGAGGGGGUUCCUCAUGUGAGCAAACAUACGACUAAAUCUUUUUGUAGGGCUAAAAAAUGUGAGUGUCCAACAGCUUGCUCACUCUCUCUGUGUGUUUAAACAGGACUGAGAGCAGAGAUCUGAGUUUCUGUUGGCUACUGAGGAAGGAUGCCUUAUUUGUGUGCAUGCUCAUGAGAGUCGGCAUUGGCCUAAAGCUCUGCUAGGUGCUAAGAAUUAAUAAAACUCCAAUGCUUAAGAGUGCGUUGUUUCUUUUUAGGGGAGGAUAGGGAAAGGAAAGAACCAGAACAGAGGGAGGCCACACAACAUUUCUCCUAUCCUGGAGAAGGAACGGUGAUAGCAACAACCACUUCUGAACUAAAAUAGUUUAGUUAGGUGCUGUUUCUGAAACUGCAAUGCUUAAGUGUCCAAAGUGUGUUUGAAAGGGAUGAAAACGGUGAGAAAACCAAAUGUGGCAACACCCCUGCAACCUUGUUGGCCAGGCACUCAAGAACUCCUUGCAGCUCCAUCCAGUCUAGUGAGCACCAGUCACCACUGGCAAACCUCCCCCCCCCAAUAAUGGGGUUCAGGAGUGCAGCUCUCUCUCUCUUUCAUACACACCAAGUGUGUACAUUGUUAUAGAUUUUGCAAUUCACAAAGCAGCAGGCACUAAUCAGUGGGUCGAAAUCUACAAGCCUUUCUUUAACUGCACCCAUGAACUCAGUUUUAUAGAAGCUGCUGUAUGGAUUUCCCCCUAUCUCAGCCAAUAGACUGGCUCUGUCUGUCCGCUCUUCUUAUAUCAUCAUAAGUGCUUUUGUGUGUGUGUGUGAAAACAGCUAAGCAUUUUAAUCCAGUGCGGGUGCCCAGCUGGAGUGCAUUGAUCCAAACUGUUGGCCAGUUGCUAGCAGGCAGAAAGCCAUCCUGGCCUGACAGCGAACUGCUAAGGGAGAUGCCUUUGAGGCUUCUGGCUCCGAGUGGCACAUCAGUAAAUCCCAGCUCAUUGGAUCAGUUCUGCAGCAGAGUCACCAAUCAUGCAACAACAACUUCCCAUCACUGGGAAUGCUAUUGCCAAGCAACUGGUGGGUUGGAGGACUAUUGGCAAGGCAGAGUGCCAGUACAUUGGAAAUUCACUUAGGGAAGGGCCAUAGCUCACUGACAGAGCUUUUGUCCUGCAUGCAGAAGGUCCCAGGUUCAAUUUCUGGUAUCUUCAUUUAAAGGCUGGGAGAUACCUCUGAAAUGCUGGAGAGCCACUGCCAGUCUGUAAAGCUAAAAGGACAAUUGUUCUGAAUUGGAGUGACCCUGAUCCAACCUGGAUCUGGGCUUCAAACUGAAUUGCACAGUGUUUAAUUAGAAUUGGGAGUAGGGGAGAAGAAGAUGCAGAUUGGCCAAGGAAGACUCUCAAUGCUGAUCGGUUUGUACAGGUCAGGUGAUUCCUCCCCAACUUCCACGGCAGAUCUGCCCCAUCUUCUCGGCAACUCAGAAGUUUGCUCUUGCAGCUUGAAGGCUUUCUUUGCUCCCCCUUCCCUUGAAUGGCAAUCAGGUCUGGCACUAAGUCUCCACCACUUGAGAAAUAGCUGAGUGAAUCGUCCCUUAAAUACAGGAGGUGACUUGAUGCCACCGCUAAAGUUUUAUGGAGCGUCAAAGUCCGGGGGGGAGUUAGGAUUUUUCUUGCAGGCACACACUUAGUCACCAGUUCGCUUUAGGGCCCAGCUCAAAGAGAGUUAUUCUCCUUGCAGGCUGGGUUUCAGGCUGCUCAAUCAUUCCUUGCCAGCAAGAUGCAGACAUAGAGCCACGAUCCUCAGAGAAGGAUCAUCAAUACUGCAGUAGUAAUAUAACCUUCAGCUUUCUCUAAGCCUCUAGUCAAUCACCUGUCAGUGGAACCCAUUUAUCCAGGGAUGCAAGGGAGGGGUGCUGGGUGGGGGAUGCUAUACUCUUCCAGAACGCCUCUUGACUCCACUUACGUGAUGUUCGCUGUUGCUUUUUGCUGCCUGUCUCCCUCUCUUGAGUCCUCCUCCCGCCUGGUGGUAUGGAGGCUGGAGAACUGCAACGAAAAUGGAAGCAGGAGUGGAAAUUGCUGGUUCUCACCCUAUUCAUCCUAUGAAUACGACUGGUUGUUCUUCUUCUUUUCAGUUCACAAAAAAAAUGUAAUUGAUUACCUCCCCCACCCCCAGUUGCAUUGUGUUUUGUUUGCAUUGAAAUGUAAUGUAGUAACAAUGUAAUUAAUGCAAUUUUACCACAGUGGACAGUGUGACAAACAAUGUAGUUUUGUGUGGAAGACGAACCGUAGCAGAAAGGAACCAGCGUUGCAUGUGAUGAAUACAGCAAGGAAUGGAAAUCAAUGCCUUCUGACAUCCCUGUGUGGUGGAGAAUAUUUCAUUGUUGGAGUAAGAUUCAUUGCCAGUCCAGUUGGCUUCUGUAGGUG